UACGGAGGAUCCAAGCGUUAUCCGGAUUUAUUGGGUUUAAAGGGUGCGUAGGCGGCUUAUUAAGUCAGGGGUGAAAGACGGUGGCUCAACCAUCGCAGUGCCCUUGAUACUGAUGAGCUUGAAUACACUUGAGGUAGGCGGAAUGUGACAAGUAGCGGUGAAAUGCAUAGAUAUGUCACAGAACACCAAUUGCGAAGGCAGCUUACUAAGGUGCAAUUGACGCUGAGGCACGAAAAGCGUGGGGGAUCAAACAGG
rnacentral:rRNA from 1 species